rnacentral:ncRNA from 1 species
CGGCAAACCUGCCGAAAGGCAGGGACGCAAAGCUAUAGUGUCUAAAUGAACGGAGCCGUUCACAUGACAGACUGGCCGC